GCCCGCCCAACUGCCUCCUGUCAGCUCCUUAAGUAGAAGCCGGAGGAAGGGGCCCGGUCUUUCGGGGACUGUGACGUUGAGAAGGUUCCGGCCGGGCCGAGGACGUCGCAUCUCCCUGUCCUCCUCCUCUUGGACCAUUCCCCGAAGCCCUUCAAUAAAAGGAUUUGAUCCCAGCGCUGGUGUUGCUGUUGGUGUUCCUUGUCGCGACGCGCUGCUUUUGAGCCCCCGCUGCGCCUGCGCGUGGCGCCGGGGGUCAGGCUGCAGCGCCAGAGUACGCGCUUGCGCAUAACUGGGGCCG